rnacentral:rRNA from 1 species
UGAGGAAUAUUGCGCAAUGGGCGAAAGCCUGACGCAGCGACGCCGCGUGGGGGAUGAAGGUUUUCGGAUUGUAAACCCCUUUCAUGAGGAAAGAUAAAGUGGGUAACCACUUAGACGGUACCUCAAGAAGAAGCCACGGCUAACUUCGUGCCAGCAGCCGCGGUAAUACGAAGGUGGCAAGCGUUGUUCGGAUUUACUGGGCGUAAAGAGCACGUAGGCGGUUGGGAAAGCCUUUUGGGAAAUCUCCCGGCUUAACCGGGAAAGGUCGAGAGGAACUAUUCAGCUAGAGGACGGGAGAGGAGCGCGGAAUUCCCGGUGUAGCGGUGAAAUGCGUAGAUAUCGGGAAGAAGGCCGGUGGCGAAGGCGACACCCUGGCCCGAGACUGACGCUCAGGCACGAAAGCGUGGGUAGCAAACAGGAUUAGAUACCCUGGUAGUCCACGCCGUAAACGAUGAGUGCUAGGUGUUGUGGGUUACGGCCUGCAGCGCCGAAGCUAACGCGUUAAGCACUCCGCCUGGGGAGUACGGCCGCAAGGUUA